rnacentral:rRNA from 1 species
UACGUAGGGUGCAAGCGUUGUCCGGAAUCACUGGGCGUAAAGCGCACGUAGGCGGGUCGUUUAAGUCGGGGGUGAAAUCCUGGAGCUCAACUCCAGAACUGCCUUCGAUACUGGCGACCUUGAGUCCGGGAGAGGUGAGUGGAACUCCGAGUGUAGAGGUGAAAUUCGUAGAUAUUCGGAAGAACACCAGUGGCGAAGGCGGCUCACUGGCCCGGUACUGACGCUGAGGUGCGAAAGCGUGGGGAGCAAACAGG